rnacentral:rRNA from 1 species
UGAACGCUGGCGGCGUGCUUAACACAUGCAAGUCGAACGAACCUUCGGGUUAGUGGCGGACGGGUGAGUAACGCGUGAGAAUCUGCCCUCAGGAGGGGGAUAACGGCUGGAAACGGCCGCUAAUACCCCAUAUGCCGAGAGGUGAAAUGAAUUUCGCCUGAGGAUGAGCUCGCGUCUGAUUAGCUAGUUGGUAGGGUAAAGGCCUACCAAGGCUUCGAUCAGUAGCUGGUCUGAGAGGAUGAUCAGCCACACUGGGACUGAGACACGGCCCAGACUCCUACGGGAGGCAGCAGUGGGAAUUUUCCGCAAUGGGCGCAAGCCUGACGGAGCAACGCCGCGUGAGGGAUGAAGGCCUCUGGGCUGUAAACCUCUUUUAUCAAGGAAGAAGAUCUGACGGUACUUGAUGAAUAAGCCACGGCUAAUUCCGUGCCAGCAG